AUGUGCAGCAUCCCCAGGUGGGAUGGGGGGGCUGAUGGGACCCCCCCUACCCCAGCAAAUAGUGGGGGACACAGCCCCCCCGGCCCCCCCCAGCCCUGGCAGUGCCUCCCCUCCUCCCGCAGCGCACAGAUAGCACUUACUGCCCAGCAGCACGGGGGAACCUCCUCCUCCUGCUGGUUUUUUGGGGUGGGGGGGGGCUCAUCGGGGGCUUCCGCGGUACAAAAACCCCACAAAAUUGUCCUUUUGGCUCUUUUCUCUCGGGAUUUUUAUUUUCAGUGGAGAAAAAUGGUGCGUUGUGGGGUGCUGGUUGGUUUGGUUUUGUUUUUUUUUUUUUCCUUUUGGUUUUCGAUUGGGUGGGUGGUUGGGUGUUUGGGUUUUUUUUUCCCCCCCUUCUGGUUUGGGAGUGUUUUGGAAUUUUUAUACUUUAAAAAAAAAGAUAAUCUUUGUCAUAUUUUGGCAGAAGUGACAGCGGGCUUCUGCUGUGUCUGCCGGGGUGGCUGAAGAAAGAGAGAUAGAUAUAGAUAUAUAUAUAUAUUCCCUGCUGGUUUUUUGGGGUGGGGGGGGCUCAUCGGGGGCUUCCGCGGUACAAAAACCCCACAAAAUUGUCCUUUUGGCUCUUUUCUCUCGGGAUUUUUAUUUUCAGUGGAGAAAAAUGGUGCGUUGUGGGGUGCUGGUUGGUUUGGUUUUGUUUUUUUUUUUUUCCUUUUGGUUUUCGAUUGGGUGGGUGGUUGGGUGUUUGGGUUUUUUUUUCCCCCCCUUCUGGUUUGGGAGUGUUUUGGAAUUUUUAUACUUUAAAAAAAAGAUAAACUUUGUCAUAUUUUGGCAGAAGUGACAGCAGGCUUCCGCUGUGUCUGCCGGGGUGGCUGGCCCUGAAGAAAGAGAGAGAGAUAUAUAUAUAUUCCCCCCCCAGCCCCCCGCCCUCUAUUUUUUUCCCUUUUUUAUUAUUUUUUAACUCGUUUCCAGCCACCUCCCAACCCUUGGACUUCUCCUCCCGAUCCUUGAGUCUCGCUGGUCCCGAGGAAACUCCUCUUUGGGGUGGGUGACACCCCCCCUCCUUGUAAAUCCAGCCCAGAGAGUGUCCCCUCCUCUCCCCCCCCCACUGGCUCCUACAGCGUGUAUAUGUAUGUAUAUAGGAACCUCUUAAUUGGGCACUAAUUAAUUGGAGGCUGCUCCCCCCCUCCCCUCUCCAGCCUGACCCCUGACUUGUCACUCGGUGGGAGAUGGGGAAGGGCUUGGGGGGGGGACACACUUGUCACCGUGGCCCCCGUGGGGCCACCGGCACCCGGCCCGGGAGGGGGGGGGCGAUGCCCUAUCGAGUGAAUUGGGUUUUUUUUUUUUUUUUUUUGGUUGUUUUUUUUUUUUUUUUUUUUUUUUUGGGGUUUUUUUUGUGUUGUCUUUUAAUUGGGUGAAUUGGGUUUUUUUUUUGUUUUUUUGGGUUGUUUUUUUUUUUUUUUUUGUCUUCUUGGAGCUUUUUCUCAGCUGUCUUCCAAGUAUUAUUUUU
rnacentral:lncRNA from 1 species